rnacentral:rRNA from 1 species
GAUGAACGCUGGCGGCGUGCCUAAUACAUGCAAGUCGAGCGAACAGACGAGGAGCUUGCUCCUCUGACGUUAGCGGCGGACGGGUGAGAAACACGUGGAUAACCUACCUAUAAGACUGGGAUAACUUCGGGAAACCGGAGCUAAUACCGGAUAAUAUAUUGAACCGCAUGGUUCAAUAGUGAAAGACGGUUUUGCUGUCACUUAUAGAUGGAUCCGCGCCGCAUUAGCUAGUUGGUAAGGUAACGGCUUACCAAGGCAACGAUGCGUAGCCGACCUGAGAGGGUGAUCGGCCACACUGGAACUGAGACACGGUCCAGACUCCUACGGGAGGCAGCAGUAGGGAAUCUUCCGCAAUGGGCGAAAGCUUGACGGAGCAACGCCGCGUGAGUGAUGAAGGUCUUCGGAUCGUAAAACUCUGUUAUUAGGGAAGAACAAAUGUGUAAGUAACUAUGCACGUCUUGACGGUACCUAAUCAGAAAGCCACGGCUAACUACGU